rnacentral:lncRNA from 1 species
CUUUCGCGCCUCCGCCCCUGGGUUGGCGGACAGGGGAAGGAGCGAAGAUGGCGGAGUGAGGCGUGCCCCGGGCAGCUGGCCUGCGGGCCCGGGGCAGGCCUCCCGUGAGAAGCGGAGUACUUGUGCUGGACCGUGUGAGGAACCAUAUCACACAAGAUGAAUAUUUUCCUGACCUUAGGUGCUUUUAUAUUCAGCUCAACAUUCUGAACUCAGGACUUGGCACGAAUUCCUAUGUGGACUGCUCAGUGAGGCGUCCUGGUUCUUCCAUCCUGUUACUUUCCCCAGUGAGAUGCAGAUGUCUUUCGACAGAUUACCUCCAUGGUUUAGGAUGCAGAGACUGCCUUUCUUUUACGUCAGACUCAACACAGGAAAGCCGUGAGGAUGCAGCCGUCCUGUUGACUUCAGCAAGAAAACAAACCAUGGACUUGGGUCUUCUGCAGCUUUUGAAUUGGAAAGACGGUGUUUGCAAGUAGAAGGAAGAUGCUGAAUUUGAAACAAGUGCUUAGGUUCUGUGGCGUGAGUUGUUUUCUUUUUAAAAGAUCCAAACAAGAAGACUGAACAAAUACCAAGUGUGGGUGACUUCAGGUUUUUUUUUUAAUGUCUUCCAAUUUUAACACUAUUAUAAGCACAGUUGACCGCAGUAAGUUCCAAAUAUUUAAUAUAAUUUGAAGUGAAAGAAAUGUUAUCUAAAUUCUGGCUCACUCUUUGACAGUUUUCCUGGACAAAAACAAGAUACGAUAAAAGCAGAAACCAGGUUUGAUUUUGUAUGGGAGUGAAAUCAUUACAGUUUUAUGGGUAUAAAUCUACAUUUUUAAACAAGAUUUUUCUCUUGGAGAAGAAACCUGUUGUUUAUAAGAAGGCUUUGGACAGUUUAAUAGUCUUAAAUGUUCUGCUUUGCUGUUCUAGUCCUUCUCAGGAAGGCCCAGCUGGGCCUGUGGCUAGUUCAGAAUGGGAGGAAACAUAGGCUGGGACAAUGCUCACCCUGAACUGCCAGCGUGUGGGAGGCCAAGGCAGGAAGAGCAGAUGUUCAGGGCCAGCUUGGACAUCAAGAGGCUCAAAACCAGUAGGAAAAAAAACAGAGCCCAGUAACACCCUCUUUUAUAUUCCUUUUGUGGAAUCAUGUAGCAUGUGAGACUGGGUUGGAAGGGAACUGGCAUAUGUGGUAUUUCAGUUAAGGUGAUGUGGUGGACCCUGAUGUGUAACUGGCCUUCACCUUUGGACAUACAGGAAUGAAGGAAAAACUAAAGCUUGGCAUAUAAAUCUUUUCUUCUAAGAAAAAGAAGCAAAGCUGUCUAAUGUAGCAUUGUCUGACUUUUCAACAUUUUUACUUUAUGUGGUUGCAUUUUUUUAUAAAAGUAUAAAUAAGUUCCUUCAACCCAAAAAAAAAAAAAAAAA